rnacentral:piRNA from 1 species
UUGUAACAAUUGAAAGAAAAC